rnacentral:rRNA from 1 species
GAUGAACGCUGGCGGCGUGCCUAAUACAUGCAAGUCGAGCGAACAGAUGAGGAGCUUGCUCCUCUGACGUUAGCGGCGGACGGGUGAGUAACACGUGGAUAACCUACCUAUAAGACUGGGAUAACUUCGGGAAACCGGAGCUAAUACCGGAGAAUCUAUUGAACCGCAUGGUUCAAUAGUGAAAGACGGUUUUGCUGUCACUUAUAGAUGGAUCUCGGCCGCAUUAGCUAGUUGGUAAGGUAACGGCUUACCAAGGCAACGAUGCGUAGACGACCUGAGAGGGGGGUCGGCCACCUUGGAACUUGAACGGGGUCCAGACUCCUACGGGAGGCAGCAGUAGGGAAUCUUCGGCAAUGGGGGAAAACCUGACGGAGCAACGCGGCGUGAGUGAUGAAGGUCUUCGGAUCGUAAAACUCUGUUAUUAGGGAAGAACAAAUGUGUAAGUAACUAUGCAGGUAUUGACGGUAACUAAUCAGAAAGCCACGGCUAACUACGUG